rnacentral:lncRNA from 1 species
GGGUGCCUACUUGAGUUUAUCUAGAAAAUGAAUAUAAGGAGGAAUCUAGAGGGGGAUUCCAUGUUGCUUCUUUAUGUGAGGAGCUAAUCCUCUUUGAUUGCCCUUUUAAGGGAGUGGAGACUUGCAUCUUGGAGUGAAGGUCUUUGGCUCUUGUUGGCCAACUCUUAGUCUUAGAGAGUUGACAUCCCAAAUUUUAGUGUGGUUAGAAUCUUUUCCAGCAAGCUAGGGAUUGAUUUUGAUUCCUAGAUUUGUUGCUAGAGUCUGGGAGAGAGAAGAUACU